UAGGUGGGAGGCUUUGAAGUGUGGACGCCAGUCUGCAUGGAGCCGACCUUGAAAUACCACCCUUUAAUGUUUGAUGUUCUAACGUUGACCCGUAAUCCGGGUUGCGGACAGUGUCUGGUGGGUAGUUUGACUGGGGCGGUCUCCUCCUAAAGAGUAACGGAGGAGCACGAAGGUUGGCUAAUCCUGGUCGGACAUCAGGAGGUUAGUGCAAUGGCAUAAGCCAGCUUGACUGCGAGCGUGACGGCGCGAGCAGGUGCGAAAGCAGGUCAUAGUGAUCCGGUGGUUCUGAAUGGAAGGGCCAUCGCUCAACGGAUAAAAGGUACUCCGGGGAUAACAGGCUGAUACCGCCCAAGAGUUCAUAUCGACGGCGGUGUUUGGCACCUCGAUGUCGGCUCAUCACAUCCUGGGGCUGAAGUAGGUCCCAAGGGUAUGGCUGUUCGCCAUUUAAAGUGGUACGCGAGCUGGGUUUAGAACGUCGUGAGACAGUUCGGUCCCUAUCUGCCGUGGGCGCUGGAGAACUGAGGGGGGCUGCUCCUAGUACGAGAGGACCGGAGUGGACGCAUCACUGGUGUUCGGGUUGUCAUGCCAAUGGCACUGCCCGGUAGCUAAAUGCGGAAGAGAUAAGUGCUGAAAGCAUCUAAGCACGAAACUUGCCCCGAGAUGAGUUCUCCCUGACCCUUUAAGGGUCCUGAAGGAACGUUGAAGACGACGACGUUGAUAGGCCGGGUGUGUAAGCGCAGCGAUGCGUUGAGCUAACCGGUACUAAUGAACCGUGAGGCUUAACCUUACAACGCCGAAG
rnacentral:rRNA from 1 species